rnacentral:rRNA from 1 species
GAUGAACGCUGGCGGCGUGCCUAACACAUGCAAGUCGAACGGAAAGGCCAUGAUUUUGUGGGGUGCUCGAGUGGCGAACGGGUGAGUAACACGUGAGUAACCCGCACUUGACUUUGGGAGAACUUCAGGAAACUGGGGUUAAUACCGGAUAGGAGAUCUUGCAGCAUGGUGGUGGUUGGAAAGUUUCGGCGGUUUGGGAUGGUAUCGCCGCUUAUGAGCUUGUUGGUGGUGUAGUGGAUUACCAAGGAUUCGAAGGGUAGCCCGCCUGAGAGCGUGACCGGGCACCCUGCGACUGAGAUACGCCCCAGACUCCUACGUUCGGCAGUAGGCGGGAAUAUUGCACAGUGGCCGGGCGCCAGAUGCAGCAACCCCGCGUGCGUGAUGCCGGCCUUCUGGUUGUGAACCACUUUCGCCUUUUACGUGGCGUUAGUGACGGUAAUUAGUAAAAAAGCACCGGCUAACUACGUG